rnacentral:rRNA from 1 species
UAAGCCUGUGAAGGUGGCCUGUGAGGGUUGCUGGAGGUAUCAGAAGUGCGAAUGCUGACAUAAGUAACGAUAAAGCGGGUGAAAAGCCCGCUCGCCGGAAGACCAAGGGUUCCUGUCCAACGUUAAUCGGGGCAGGGUGAGUCGACCCCUAAGGCGAGGCCGAAAGGCGUAGUCGAUGGGAAACGGGUUAAUAUUCCCGUACUUGGUGUUACUGCGAAGGGGGGACGGAGAAGGCUAUGUUGGCCGGGCGACGGUUGUCCCGGUUUAAGCGUGUAGGUGUGUGUUCCAGGUAAAUCCGGUUCACUUUAACACUGAGGCGUGACGACGAGGCACUACGGUGCUGAAGCAACAAAUGCCCUGCUUCCAGGAAAAGCCUCUAAGCAUCAGGUAACAUCAAAUCGUACCCCAAACCGACACAGGUGGUCAGGUAGAGAAUACCAAGGCGCUUGAGAGAACUCGGGUGAAGGAACUAGGCAAAAUGGUGCCGUAACUUCGGGAGAAGGCACGCUGACACGUAGGUGAAGUGAUUUACUCAUGGAGCUGAAGUCAGUCGAAGAUACCAGCUGGCUGCAACUGUUUAUUAAAAACACAGCACUGUGCAAACACGAAAGUGGACGUAUACGGUGUGACGCCUGCCCGGUGCCGGAAGGUUAAUUGAUGGGGUCAGCGCAAGCGAAGCUCCUGAUCGAAGCCCCGGUAAACGGCGGCCGUAACUAUAACGGUCCUAAGGUAGCGAAAUUCCUUGUCGGGUAAGUUCCGACCUGCACGAAUGGCGUAAUGAUGGCCAGGCUGUCUCCACCCGAGACUCAGUGAAAUUGAACUCGCUGUGAAGAUGCAGUGUACCCGCGGCAAGACGGAAAGACCCCGUGAACCUUUACUAUAGCUUGACACUGAACAUUGAGCCUUGAUGUGUAGGAUAGGUGGGAGGCUUUGAAGCGUGGACGCCAGUCUGCAUGGAGCCGACCUUGAAAUACCACCCUUUAAUGUUUGAUGUUCUAACGUGGACCCGU